rnacentral:siRNA from 1 species
CGAAAAGUGAGAAUACUCCCGGAA